UUAGUUGGUGGGGUAAUGGCCUACCAAGACAAUGAUGCGUAGCCAGUCUGAGAGGAUGAAUGGCCACAAAGGAACUGAGACACGGUCCUUACUCCUAUUGAGGAGGCAGCAGUGGGGAAUAUUCUGCAAUGGGGGAAACCCUGACAGAGCAAUACUACGUGAAGGAGGAAGGUCUACGGAUUGUAAACUUCUUUACUUAAAUGUAAUAGCCGCAAGGUUUUGCAUUUGAGCAAAAAGCGACGACUAACUAUGUGCCAGCAGUCGCGGUAAGACAUAGGUCGCGAACGUUAUCCGGAAUUAUUGGGCGUAAAGGAUGCGUAGAUGGUUCAGUAAGUUACUGGUGGGAAAUCGAGGCCUAACCUCGUGGAAGUCAGUAAUACUGUUGAACUUGAGUGCAGGAGAGGUUAACGGAACUUCAUGUGGAGCGGUAAAAUGCGUAGAUAUAUGAAAGAACAUCAAUAUAGCGAAGGCAGUUAACUAUUCUGCUACUGACAUUGAGGCAUGAAAGCGUGGGGAGCAAAACGGAUUAGAUACCCGUGUAGUCCACGCCCUAAACGAUGAGUGCUAGAUAUUGGGAACUUGAUUCUCAGUGUCGCUAGGUAACCCGGUAAGCACUCCGCCUGGGGAGUACGCUCGCAAGAGUGAAACUCAAAGGAAUUGACG
rnacentral:rRNA from 1 species